UUUUUAUGAGAGUUUGAUCCUGGCUCAGGACGAACGCUGGCGGCGUGCCUAAUACAUGCAAGUCGAACGCAUUUUCUUUCACCGUAGCUUGCUACACCGGAA
rnacentral:rRNA from 1 species